UGAAAAAAUUUAGUUUUUAAAGAUUUUUGACAAUUUUAGAUUUUUUACUUGAAAAGUCAGUAUUGGAAGUGUCUAAUCAAGAGUUUGUACUUGCGGCAUCAAAAAAUCGAGUAUAGGUUAGAUGAACAGAAAUGGAGGCUACUUUAUCAACGUGUGAAUCACGAAAGCGAAAAAGCAUUAACCUCGAAAAAAGCUUGUCCAAAUGAUAUCUUUUUCACGACAACUCUCGAUCGUAUACAGUCGCUGCAAUAUGCACUAUUAAUUACAUCGUUUAAUGUAAUAGAUUGAACAGAAAAUCGAACCAGAACCUACCUCUGAUCACGCUGCGAGAACACGGAAACGCACAGAAAGGAAGGGGUCCACAAGAAAAACAACCCGGGAGUAUACACACACGUUGACUGACAACGUAGGACAGCAAUGUGCCAUCGCUCUUUGUGAUGCCGGAAACGGUGAUCGCAACGUCAUCUAGCGAUUGUCAGUAAAAAUAAACAUUUUGGCGGGAUACGGGAAAAGUAAGAAAUUGAUUGGCCACUACGUGAAUCGUGCCAGAUUUUCUUGAUUCUUGUGAAAUGUCAAAAUUAAUUGAUCAAAAUUAAUGAUAGUCGGUCUCAUCAUCUCCGAUUAAUUUGAUCGGUUGAUUAAACAAUAGAGAAUUAUAAAAUUUCAAAUUGAUCAUGUUGUGUUUUUUUGUAUGUUUACUGCAAAUUAGAAGUUAUUUAUGUAAGAUACAUUUUAAUAAUUAAUUUUUAAUUAUAAUUUAAAAUCUAUUAAAAUUUUUUAAUUAAAACAAUAAAAAAAAUUAGGUGAAUAAUUAGUUUAAGGUUUACAGUUGGUGGGAAAUCCUCUAAUUAUAAAUAAUUUUUAUUAAUAUAUUUACUAAUAUAUAUUUAUAAAAUAUAUACAUAAUAUGUAUAUGAUAUCAUGUAUUUAAAAGAUAACUUAUCUUAAUUUUUUAAUACAAGCUAUUAUGUACGUUACUGUUUUAUAUACAAGACAAUUAUUUCCAAAAUUAUCAGAAUCAUAAUUAGGAUUUAUAGUCUAUACGAGCAAAACGGAAUUAAUACACCCAUCAUUUUCAGGAUUAUUUGUAACCUGAGCAUAUUUUCCCCAUACAACUUUAC